AACACUGGCGCUGUUAGUGACUGACUGUGUUUGCUGUUGUAGGGUUCGGUGUUGGGGGCCUGCAGCCAGGGGCUGGAGUUCCUGGCUUCGGUUUGUCUCCCAUUUACCCAGGUGGACUCGCUGGCCAGCUGGGAUACGGCGGAAAACCUCCCAAGACUUAUGGUGGGGCCCUGGGAGCCCUAGGAUACAGAGGUGGCGUGGGCUGUGCGCAAGGGAAGUACUGUGGCAGGAAGCGGAAGUAACCCAGCCAGGCUGCUACCAUUAACCUCAUGAACUUUGGUGCUACUGCAUGGUCUAGAAUGUAAACCCUGAGUAAAGCAGUGAUCCCGCCCCCCUCCCCCGCUCCCCCGCCGGCCCCCCGGAGGGAAUUCCACGGCCCCUGACGCCCCCUUCACUCCGGCCCGGGGGUCCCCACCCUCUCUCCAGCGGGAAGCACAGAACAAACUGCGGGAAACGCCGUUCCCACUGGUGCUAAAGCUCCCUGCGGGGAGAGCCGGGCAGGCCUCCGUGGGGCGGGGGCUUCUCUGGGCAGGGCAGGACAGGACCCUCCCCGGGGGCCCUGGGGGAGGAAGAGAUGGGGGCUGGUUUCCAAGAGAACAGCGAGGGGCUGGGCUUCACCUGCCGCCAGCACAUGGACGAAUGGCCCGUCAGCAGCGCCCGGCCCCAGCACAUCCCAGCUGCUCCCAAGACUCCGUCCAGCUGGCAUUGGUGCCAUGUGCCAGGGACUGCUUAGCAGCUAGCCAGCCUUGUGUCUGUCAGCCCCCUCCAUGCCUGCCCGCCCCAGGGCCCACGCUGCAGGGUGCCAUGGGAUGGGGUUCGUGGGCUCCAUGCAGGCGGGCAGGGGAAUGCCUCCUGCUCAGACACUCAUGCCAGUGGGGCCAGUAGGGGCUCGUGGGUGGGUUAAAUUCACCCAGAGUUCUUUGCGGCAGGGCCAUCUGAUUGGCUGACCCAUCCUUGCACUGGAGGACACGGCCCUCCCGGUGCGUGGGGAGGGGUUGGCACUAUCAGCAGAGCCAAGUCACUAACACUGAUGGGAUUAGCCAUGCGCCCGCCCUCACUCAGCCGUACUGUAUGGGCAGCCAGCGCCAGCCCAGCCCUGCCGUGUCUCCGAGGCCCCGCUGGGACCUGCCCUUCCUCUUGCCCUGGAUGCCCGUGUGUUCCUGAGAGCUGUCGGCCGGAAGGAAUCGCACCUCUCCAUGUUACUCACUUGGUAUAGCUCGGGUGGGACAUGUUAUAAAGAGGGAAAGUAACUGCUUCCAAACGACUAAUAAACAAUGACUUCUAAAGGA